rnacentral:rRNA from 1 species
AUUGAACGCUGGCGGCAGGCCUAACACAUGCAAGUCGAACGGUAACAGGAAACAGCUUGCUGUUUCGCUGACGAGUGGCGGACGGGUGAGUAAUGUCUGGGAAACUGCCUGAUGGAGGGGGAUAACUACUGGAAACGGUAGCUAAUACCGCAUAACGUCGCAAGACCAAAGAGGGGGACCCUCGGGCCUCUUGCCAUCGGAUGUGCCCAGAUGGGAUUAGCUUGUUGGUGGGGUAACGGCUCACCAAGGCGACGAUCCCUAGCUGGUCUGAGAGGAUGACCAGCCACACUGGAACUGAGACACGGUCAAGACUCCUACGGGAGGCAGCAGUGGGGAAUAUUGCACAAUGGGCGCAAGCCUGAUGCAGCCAUGCCGAGUGUAUGAAGAAGGCCUUCGGGUUGUAAAGUACUUUCAGCGGGGAGGAAGGGAGUAAAGUUAAUACCUUUGCUCAUUGACGUUACCCGCAGAAGAAGCACCGGCUAACUCCGUG